rnacentral:miRNA from 1 species
ACACAUAUGUGGCACCCCUCACACACGCACACAUAUAUAGCACCCCUAUAUUAUGUGUGUGAGGGGUGAUAUAUAUAUAUAUAUCACCCCUCACACACAUAAUAUAGGGGUGCUAUAUAUGUGUGCGUGUGUGAGGGGUGCCACAUAUGUGU